UGUGUGUAUCUGUGUUUAUGUCUGUGUAUCUAUCAGUGUGUGUAUCUGUGUGUGUCUGUGUAUCUAUAAGUGUGUGUAUCUGUGUGUGUGUCUGUGUAUCUAUCAGUGUGUGUAUCUCUGUGUUUGUUUGUAUCUGGGUGUCAGUGUGCACCUGAGUGCAUGUGUGUAUCUGUGUUUAUGUCUCUGUAUCUAUCAGUGUGUGUAUCUUUGUGUUUGUUUGUAUCUGGGUGUCAGUGUGCACUUGAGUGUAUGUUAUUGUUUUUUUUACAUAGACCUGUAGUCUUUUGUUUUAUUAUAUUUCAUUAUUUUAUAGCAGUG